GGUUUAUUAGUAUAAUAAGUAUAUUUGAUUUCCAAUCAAAUGGUCAUUAAACUA
rnacentral:tRNA from 1 species